GGGUAAGUCGGGGCCUAAGGCGAGGCUGGGAAGCGUAGCCGAUGGACAACAGGUUGAGAUUCCUGUACUCGGCGGUACCAGAAAUGUGGGGACACAGGCACAAGGCAGGUGCCGGGAAUGGAAAGACCGGUGCAAGCGGAGGAGCCGUGCGGGAGGGAAAUCCCCCGCAUAAGGCGGAGCCGUGAAGCGGAGCGAGCCAGAAGGGUAGCGAAGCCUGCGGAGUGGCUGUCGGGAAAAGCCGCUAUUGCGUACCGACGACCCGUACCGUAAACCGACACAGGUGGAUGGGGAGAGAAUCCCAAGGCCGGCGGAAGAAGCAUUGUCAAGGAAUUCGGCAAAAUGGCCCCGUAACUUCGGGAGAAGGGGUGCCCGGGAAACCGGGCCGCAGAGAACUGGCCCAAGCAACUGUUUAGCAAAAACACAGGUUUAUGCGAAACCGAAAGGUGAAGUAUAUGAGCUGACGCCUGCCCGGUGCUGGAAGGUUAAGGGGAGGGCUUAGGAGCAAUCCAAAGGUCUGAACUUAAGCCCCAGUAAACGGCGGCCGUAACUAUAACGGUCCUAAGGUAGCGAAAUUCCUUGUCGGGUA
rnacentral:rRNA from 1 species